ACGUCAACCACCGGCCUAAGGAAAGCAGUGGGAAAGCUUAAGUGUGACGCGGCUUAAGCAGCUUGUCUGAGUUUGCACAGCUGGCAAAUGGCUGAGCCAUGACUCACACCCAGGUCCAUCCACCGCCAAAGCUCCAGAUCUCUGGCAUCCUUCUAAGGUCAGAAAGGGAAAGAAAUCCCUAAUAAGGAGCCUGUGUGACGGCGUGCCCCCCUCCACUUUCCCACCCCCGCCAAGGACCCGUUUGAAGGCUGUUCACACCAGUCACUGCAAUCACCAUUGAGCACAGAGAUGACAGUUCCAGCAAGCACUGACCUUCCAGCCCACUCUGCGGAGGAGAAGACUGAGGGGCAGAGACGAUGUUGAUUUGCUGCAGUUGACUCUGACCCUAAUUUCCCAGCGCUGACUCAAACUCAUCAAGAACACUGCUUUCACUGAGUGUAUGAGUGAUUUCUCCAUCCGUGUGGCUUUACCUGAACUCACACCGGUCCCACGGCCCAGGUGUGGGGCCGAGCACUCCCCUCUGCCUCCUCCCUGGACUGCAGGACCUGUGUCUCGCUUUAUGAAAGAGGUGCCAUUUGGGGAAGACUCGCAUUGUCAGGAGCGCUGUGGACGCUCCGGGCGGAGAUCAACACGAUGAUGAUGCCGGGUGGAGGGAAUGUGCGCUUCUCAGGAGGAGGAGCCAAAAGCAUUUUGCUGACCUCGGUGCAGAUCAACCCUGCAACAAGGUGCAGAAGAGGCACCAAAGGGGCUUUGUAGCCAGCAACAUGCCAGAUCCAUGCACCUUGUUGAUGCAGCCGACUCUGCAGGGGUGCAGGAGCCUCCUACUCGCCUGGCCUCCACCGCCCACCCAGCACCCCUGGGGACUGUCCCCAUCCCCCCAGGGACUCCAGAGGGAAUGUGUUUUGUGCCGUGUGGAAAACAAGCCAUGCUCACUGCACACCACGACAGGCCCUUCAAGCUGUCAGAGUCCCUGCAUGUGGAGUGAAAAGGGGGAAAAAAGACAAUUUACAAUUGCAAAUUGGAACCCCUCUCUCGGAGUGGAGUGAUAAUCCAGCUAGGGAGACAGAUGGUGAGGAAGUGCUCCAGGAACAUGUUACAACACAUCACGGCCUAGCAGAGACGAGAGGCUCCAGGAGGGACCUGGUGCCUGCCAUUCCAACCUUGAGGGGCUCCUGGAGGGACGCUGAGGACAAGGCGGCUGUCCCGUCACCUCGCUCUUGUCUCUGCCCUCACCUCUCCCCACUGUGCAGGACUCAGGACUACGGGCGCCCAGACACAAAGGCCCAGAGCCACAGAACAGUGAACUCCACACUGUGCAGCUGUUGGCGGGAGGGGCGGGGAGAGAGACCAGAGUCCCAUUUCUGCUGCCUUUUAAAUAAAAGACAAGGAGGAUGGCGA
rnacentral:lncRNA from 1 species